AUUGCAAUUGCAAGUUCAUUUGAAAGAUAGAUGGAUAAUGCUGCAAUUUCUACAGGAAUAUAGACACCUCCAUUGACUCUCAGCUUCAAAGGUUCAACUUAAAAAAUAACAGAAAAGCAUUCUUAAAAAGGACACUGAAAAACCAUGAACGAUGAGCUAAGCCACCGGAAUCCCAUGAUCCGCCGUAUUUUCACCGGAAUAUGACUCCAAAACUGCCAUUUUUGCCAGAAUCCGGCUAUAUCGCCACUGCCAAUCUAGCGCAUUUCACUGAAACUAGUCAACAAAGACUAGGGCAACAAAUAAACCCUAGAAAUCCAUAACCUCAACGGCUAAUUAUAGCACAACCAGAGUCCCCAAAAAAAAAAAAAAAAUCACAACUUCCCACUCUUUCCUGUUUCUUGCUUCAAAUAUGAAGCAAAAUCCCUUUUCUUCUUGUACUCGUUGAUUUGGAGCUCGGUUAUCUCAAUCGUAUCCCCGUUAGAGAGCGAGAAACAAGGGGGGAGAGAGAUAGAAAGAGGAGAAAAGUUUGAGUCGGAUGUUAUUUUAGUAAUUUAUUGGAUAAAAAAC
rnacentral:lncRNA from 1 species